rnacentral:lncRNA from 1 species
GACAUUUAAACAAAUACAUGAAGACUUAUAGAAAUAACUAUAAAAUGACUGAUAAUUCUGAGUAUUUGAGCUUUAAUGGGUUUUUAACGAAUAUAUGUAUUUCUCAUAAGAAGACAAUAACAUUGACCUAUUGAGACUGGGCAUGUAAGCUAUUUUCAUAAGACCAGAGGAGUGAGCAGUUGGAGAUGUUGUUGUCGCCUUUGUAUAUGUCGGGAUUGUCUCUUGUAUCUCCCGGUGUGGUUGUGUUUGUUUUUCUUUUAUUU